CAGGGAUAGAGGAAUGCCAAGAAUCUGAUUAAUGAUUGCCCAAUAGGGGCAAGUUCCUGGAUCCUGCUGCGGAGUGGGAGGGAGUCACUAGCUGGUUCUGGCCAGCUGAGUUGUCGGAGCAGAGGCCCCGAGCAAGGUGUCUGACUUCUGCAGGACUGACUCCUCGUGGACCAGUGGCCCUGGACCUAGUGAACUAGAUCCAGCAAGGGAGGGGCCAUCGGCUGAAUCAGGGAGGCCACCAGAGAAAAGAAGGCAGCCAUGAGAGGAGAUGACCCUGAAGAGGAGGGGGAGAGCCUACUGUGGGGCCCUCCAGGAAGAGCAGAGCACAGAAGAAGAGCAGAAGCCAGGCUGAGCAUUGCAUAUCCGGAAGGUCAGAAGCCACCGAUCAUACAGAGAAGGCGGAAGAAGAGGGCUCUGGGGUCCCUGGAGACAGCACCUCUCUUUCAGAGUGUGAGGAUUCCAGCUCCACUCCAACCCAGGCAUUUCAGGCUGGGAGAAGGGCCUGGUACCAGGAUGAGUGGCUGGAGAUGGCUGGUUCAGUAUCACAUGGGACCACCGGGAGGUGGUUUUGCCGUAUCUCAGAUAAGUCUGGCUUGUGUCAAGCUGACAUAAAGUUAGCCAUCCGGCUUGGGGCCUUUUGGGGAGAAACCUCAGCUGGAGUUUGGAUAGGAGUUGAAGCCACAGGCAGGCUGUCAGCAGAGGAUCCGCUGUCUCUCAUCAAUAAUAAAGUGCUCCCAGGCCCUCACUCCGAAACCUCCUGCAUAAUUCACCCAGAAACCCUCAAACAAAGGAGCCCAUGGCCCAGGCUCCUAAUCGGUGUCCUUCUCAAUUAUCCACAGAGCGGGGAGGGGCAGGAAGCGGUGGAGAGGGGAGGGCAGGGCACAGAAGAUCUGAUUGAUGGCCCACAUCUGGUUCUCCUCUUUAACAUGCACUCACCUGCCUCUGCCUUCUGUCGUCUGGUGUAUAGCCUCCCCCCACCUCAUUUAUACCCAUCUCCCUCUCCGUCCUGCCCUUCAUUGUCCUCUUGUUUUCUUCCUAACCAGGACACUGCUCAUGGUCUUGACCAGCCUCUGCCCACAGCAUCCCAGGAAGUUGAAUGGGUUACCAUGGUACCCCUCCGAUGGAUGAUUAAACCGAAGUCCACUGCUCCAGGGUCACAGCAUGGGUGAUGGCUAUCAGAACCCCUAACAUCCUUAGACUGUGCUCUUCCCCUGUUAGUCUUGUGCCAAGGAAAACAGCAACCCUGUACACCUGGGCAUGGAGGCUAAAUCCUUACCAGCCGCAGCGUGUUCCUCGUCUUAGGGGUGGUAGUGGACAGAGCUGGCCAUGGCCUCUCUUACCCUUGGGGUUCCGUCACUGAGGACAAAGAUCAGAGGCAAAUAGGCCAGGGGUAAAGUGAGCUGGGGGAAGCGGGAAGGACUUAUACACAACAGGAGCCACUGGCCUCUGUCCUCGCUGGCAUUGCUGGGAAGCUCCGCUGGGCAUAUUUCAGGGUGAGAGCUGUCCCAGUGCCAGAGGACACUGGAGCCCAGUUCCCUGCAUUCAAGCCAGGAGGCUGGAGAGCAAGGCCGCCGGGAGUGGGAUGGAGUCCAGUGAGCCGUCUUGGUCUGUGGAAGAAAGGCUUCCUCCUCCGUGGUCACUCUUUCAUGGCUUUCUAGGUCUCUAUGGCUGGCUCCAAAGUUGGCCUGAACAACAGCACGGCCUGAUGCCUGGAGCCUUACCUCGACUUACCAGAAAACGCUGCCCAUCUUCUUCCCAUUUGUAAGGUGGGCGUGCCUAUGGACAGACGGAUGGGAAGGAGAAGAAGUUCUCUUUUUGUCCCGCAGUUGGAUGUUGCUAGGGGUUACCGAUGUCUGGUGAUGGAUAAACAUCUCUCCUCCUUGGCCUUUGCUGGUGUUGGUAGGGUGUGGGAGCAACACUCUAGAGGAGUUACUUCAACUGUAAAACCAAAUUGCUUCUGAGAAUUGUCACAGUUCAACCGAAACGGAGGUGUUGUGCAAAUGGCAUAGCCUUGGCUAAUCCGUCUCACCUCUGUCUUUCGCCCGGGGCAGCCCAGGGGUGAUGAGCCUGUUCAGUUUACCUCAGGUACACAGGGAUGCUCUGAGAACCCCAAGAUGUGGUUCAGCUGGGCAUCCAGAUGGAGAAGUCAGGGUCAGAGGGAGCAGCAGGCUGGGAGUGGAGUGUGAGGAGCCUGGCCAGUGUCUAGAGCCUUGAGUCUACUACUUCAGGGACACUGGUGGCCUUAGGUGACCUUCAGCCUGACUCCCCACUCCUUCAUGGUUGCCUCAUGGAACUUAUGUAGUAAUCCUGAAUGCCAACUUGGCAAGGUCGCUUAGAGGAGGGAGUGAGACAGUGUGGACAGACUGGACCCAGCACCCAGGUACUCAGGCACAGUCACGCCCCUGGCUAUGGUUCCCGGUGCCCCCACCUCCUCACUCACUGUGCUCAGCCACAGACUGUCCCCACUCGCAGGCUUGGCUGUGAAGGACUUGGUAGUGUGGUACCUCCUCAGGAUGGCCCGCCUACUGCUUGGACCCUGUGCCCCUUAACUCUUGUGUAUUUUACACCCAUUUUAGAUCCCACAGAAGAGGCCCAGAGAGGACAAGUUGCUCACAAAGGCCACACAGGAGCUCAGGAGCAGAGCCCAGAGAGGUGGCUAAGUGGUUUGGAGAGACAUAGAGACUUAGGUUCAAGUCCUGAUCCAGGGCUCGGUCCUCCAGAGUGGAUACUGUUGAUGUUUCCCCUUCCCACACCUUCCCUUUCUCAGAUUCUCUUUUAAAGACAGGAUGCAGCUCAGUGAUGAAACACCUGCCUAGGUGUGAGGUACCAUCCGGAUCCCUAACAUUAAGAAAAUAAAAUGAUCAGUUCUCUGCUUUAAUCAGUGACAAUUUUCUGGGCACCAACUCACUGAGGUCCCACGAGGGGCCUGCUGCUAUGUGCCAGAGGUUAACCUGCCGGGAAUUGUGCCCAAGGACAAGGCGAGGCAGGGACGUUCACUCUCCACCCUGCCUGCUCCGGGGUCUGGCAGGUGUCCUGGCCUCCUGGGAUUCACUAGGGCUCAAGGUGACUCAGCACCUCUCCCGGAGCACUAAGGAGGCGGAGGAGGAAGACAUCGCUGGUGCUGCGGGAUCUAGUUCCAGCCUAGAAGAGACAUUUGCAUUUAAAUGGAGGCCUGGAAGUCUGUAAAUCUGCAUUUCCCAACCGCGGAGCCCUAAUGGUUGUUUAAUCAUGUUUAGAUGAACCCCCCUGGAGCACUGGGGGCUGGUGCAGUGUGUCUGAGAUCUGUAACACAGACUGAGAGCAAGAAGGGCUCUCAGGCAGGGAACUCUUUCCUUCAUGUCCUCUGUCCCGGACAAAUCAGUCAUUCCCGAGAUGCACUAGGCCUCUGCCUCCGCCAGGAGGGCCUCCUGGAUUACUGAGAAGAAGCAGAAGUAGGAUUGGCUCCAAAGUCCCUCAGCCUUGUCUGUUAUGAUAAAGCUUGUGGGGGACGUUGGCGGAUUCCACGGCAGGCGAGGGUGGCCGAGGCAGAGGGACAAACAUGCCAGGCAGACAGAGCUUAAGUGAGAGGUUUUAUUAGAAAGGGGAGGGAAGGGGGAAAUAAAGAGGACACAGGUAAAGAGACACAGAGACAGAGAGAGGACAGAAAAGGGAGACAGGAAAAGUCCUGUCUGCCCCAGGGGAACGGCAGGGAGAGAGAAAGAGAGAGUAAGUGGGCGGGGGUCUUUCUUUAAAGGGGCCCCUGCACUUCCAUGCAGACUACGCAAUCAUGGAACCCUGGGCUGACCAGGGUACUGCCUGAGUGCAUUCUGCCAGGUGACAGGGGCAGCCAGCACAGUGUCUGAGUCCUUACAUUGCCUUCCAACAUUGGGUGGAGUAACGGUGUUGCUGAGACCUGCCCCUCACUGACUCCGGGCAGAACCGCACAUGCCCAGUUCCUAGAUCACCCCAGAAGGGGGCAGGGCCUAGCCAGACAUGUAGAAUGCCUGGAACACAGUAGGACCUUCAUCAUGGUGGUCAGUGUAGGCUGCCCUUGAGCAGGAUCAGCCUUUCUGGGAUUUGCUUUGCGGCUGAGUCUCUCAGCUAGCCUUUGAUGGGGGCUCAUUUCAGUGCGCACCGGUCUCUCUGGGACCCAGACUUCCCGCCCCCCCUCACUGACGGUAGAGCAUUCAGUUCACUAACAACACCCUCCAAGUGUCCCUCUUUGUCACUGAGCAUGUCCGAAGUAGGGGUGCAGGUUCGACUUCCCUGCAUGGCUGCUGUGUGUGUGGAUGGCACCAAAUGGCAUCCUUGUCAUGUGCAUCAUGUCAUCCAGGGAGGUCCCAGUCACACUCUCAACCUAAGCGAGGGAAAGCAGCUUUCUUGAGGUCACCCAGCAGGACUCAGUGCUCAAGCCCCAUGGGUACUGGGCACGUGGGGCCGGGGCCUGCGUCUCCUGUUGCCUCCCAGGCCUCACAGCAGAGUUUCACAGGAGGAAGGGUUCAGCUCCAGACCAGGUCUAUCUUGGUGUAUCUUCUGAGUCCUUGACUCCUGGAGGUCCAGCUCUGAGCACUCAGGCUACAGGUAAGAUGAGGCCUGGGGGUGCUCAAGCCCUGUGCCUCCCACUCUGGAAGUUGGGGUCAGCUCCUCCUAACCCCCCAUCACCUGUCUAGAUCCCAGGCUUUGAGACAGGAUGGGUGACCUUCAGGGGCCAUCUGAGGCUUUUGUUCCCUGAAUUACAGGUUGCUCUCACCAGGGACAGCCAGGUUGAGUGGGUCAACCAGGAGCUCAGCACCCAAACUCUGAUUCCUCAGGAACUUCUCUCAGAUGUAGAUGGUUCUAAACAUCACCCACUGGCUCAGUCUUCAAGGAGAUGGGCAGCAUUCUCUGGAGAGAAGUGUGUUAACACAAGCCUUUCCCUUCUACUCCAGCCAAUCACUAGAACUUGACCUCAGUGCCCCCUUAUUCCCUGCUUACUCCUCCUGAGACUUGACCUGUGACCCUACCAAGAGUCCCGUCUUACAUCAGUUCCCCUUAACAGUGACCUGUCAUUCCAGACAUGCCUCUGUGCCCAUUGCCCAGGGACUCGACUGCUGGGAGGCAUUUGCUCUGACAUCUCUAUUCUCCCGUCCCUUUCCUCCUCUACUGAAGGAAGGUUCCAGUCCUCUCGUCUUUUUAGUCUUUUUAGAUCGAGGACUUCUAAGGCACAUGGACUCUGUCUUAUCCCUAGCCUGGGGCCAGGCAUGGACUAAGUGCUUAAUGAGCUCUUGGAUACAUUGUUGCUGAGACACGAGCAGUAGCACUCAGGAACAUGGUGUAGCUUAUCAGUGUUGUACAGCUCAAAGGCAUCUGCAUCUUAGCACCCAGGAACAUGGUGUAGCUUAUCAGUGCUCUACAGCUCAAAGACCUGGCAUCAGGCAGGCCAGGGUUUGAAUCUCAGGCUCAAUCCUUAUUAAUGUCAGGCAGUAACUGACACUGAGUGACAUCUCGACACUCGUGGGUUUGCUGACUCUGGACCCAUGGGAUCUGGGCAGACAAUUACUCUUGCCUCUGUCUUCAACACUCUCAAUCAGCACAUGGUAGGACCCGUAGGUGGGGUGGGGUCAUUGCCAUUGUUGGGUAGCCCAGGUUGCAGUGAAUGACCCUGGGCUCCCGGUCCUCUUGCCUCCAGCUCCCUGGAGUUGAAAUGACAGGCCUGCACCACCACCCCUGGAGAUUGUACUCACGGCUUUGUGUGCGCUAGGUGGGUACUCUACCAACUGAGCCACAGCCCGGUCCAUUCUUGGUGCAACUAAAGAUACAUGGGAAGCUGGUCAGGCAGCUCUCAGCACCACCUCCCUAUCCUGUUACAAAGCACCCUUGACCCAAAUGACCAGUGCUGUCACCAGGGUCACCCCUUAAGUCCCAUUACCCCUUUCCCAGGUCAUAGACCAGCCCUGCCCAGCUCCUUGGCCUGACACAGCUGACUGGAAAUGUGCUCUUUCUGAGCCUGCCCCCACCACUUUCCCAUCGGAAAAAGCAAUUAGACCGUGUUUACCGGAGUGCAUGGUUGCAAUCUGUCGUUCCUAUCGUAUAUCCUGUGCACUGGCCCACUUCUCACAUGCUUCGCUUAGGCCUGAUGGGAGAUUUGCAUAAGCAGUAAAAAUAGAACUGGGAAAAAGCGGGGGAGGGAUCAGUGUGGGGCCAGAGAGUUAGGAGUACAGCCCUAGGCAUCUGGGUGGGUCAGGGGGAACUGAUGGUGGGUGCAGGUUCUUCCCUUCUCAUAUGAUUUGAUCUUUUGCCUCUGUUGGGCGGGCAGUCAGGUCACUAUGAGAAGUCAGGCUAGCCUACAGGGACCUGCGUAGCCAAAGGAAGCUCUCAGUCAGAGAGAUACCCUCCCCUACAGGCACCCCUGUGUGUUGAUGCAUCCAAGCUGCAUGUGGCUUGCUGCUAACCCGGAGGCAGGCUGAGUGGUGUUAUUAGCUACACAGCUUUGAGAAUGAGCCAAGGAGGCUUCCUGGAGGAGGCUGUUCUAAGAACCGAGCUCCGGGUCUCCGACUAACACCUCCUCCAUCUGGAACAGUGCCUGCCUGGGUGGAGUAAGUAUCUGCUGGAUGCUUAAAGGAAUCAAGUACGAGCUGAGGGUGGGAGAGAAGCGGAAAUGACCCAGAGAAAAAGGAGGGAAGGGGCUGACAGGUAGAGCAGGGUUGGGAGUGAGCAGUGGGGUAACAACACUGCAGGAGAGUUCCCUACAGUAGAGGUGAAGCUUGAAGACCUGGCGGGGCCCCAGAGACUCACUGGGAUGCCCCAGAGCCAUGCAGAGCCCAAGAAGACUGGGCAGGGAGAGGUACUUUAUCUAAUUGGUUGUAGGGAGGAUGGCACUGGCUGCCUUGGGGAGGAAAGGCUGGAAGGCUUUGAGGUGUCAUCUCAUGUCCAGGCAGAGGGGACAGGGCUUGGGAUGGCGGGCUUGACAAGGAAAAGAAGCAGGUGCCUGCAGAAGGGAGAAUGGGUAGGCUCCAGGGAAGGCAGUAAAAGACUAGCAAUGACUGUGUGACCUCCAAGUCCUGUAAGAUUUGUACUUCUCACCGGGUGUUGGUAGCAAAGCCUUUAAUCCCAGCACUUGGGAGGCAGAGGCAGGUGGAUCUCUAUGAGUUUGAGGUCAGCCUGGUUUACAGAGUGAGUUCCAAAGCUACAUAGAAAAACUCUGUCUCAAACAAACAAAAAGAUUUGCUCUUCUCUCAUCUGGUAGUGCCUUCCUGUGAGCUUUCCCAAAAUCCACCCAAGGACCCCAGUCCAACCUGUACAAGAUGUGUGGCUUUCUUUUUAAUUAAAACAUAUUUACCCAUCUA